UUACGGCCAUAUCACGUUGAAAAACAGGUUCUCGCACGAUCACCGAAGUUAAGCAACGUCGAGCCUGGUCAGUACUUAAAUAGAUAGCCGCUUAGAAAUACCAGGUGCU